rnacentral:rRNA from 1 species
UACGUAGGGACCAAGCGUUGUUCGGAUUUACUGGGCGUAAAGGGCGCGUAGGCGGUGCGGUAAGUCACUUGUGAAAUCUCUGAGCUUAACUCAGAACGGCCAAGUGAUACUGCAGUACUAGAGUGCGGAAGGGGCAAUCGGAAUUCUUGGUGUAGCGGUGAAAUGCGUAGAUAUCGAGAGGAACACCUGCGGCGAAGGCGGGUUGCUGGGCUGACACUGACGCUGAGGCGCGAAAGCCAGGGGAGCGAACGGG